rnacentral:rRNA from 1 species
CAAGCAUAAUCUCUUCAGUACCUCUCCUCUUUAGGGGGAGAACUAUCACCGACUCUCUACCCCUCUACUUCCCUUUCCUAUUCUUAAGAUCAGUACGAGGCACCCCACCAUCCCCCCUCACAAAGAGGCAAGCACGCCAUCUGGGGCUGUGGUGUCUGGGUGCGAUAGCCGGCUAGACGUGCUCCUAGCGCGGUGGCCCAGACCAUCAGCACCGCACACCUCUCCCUCAACCCCAGGCGACGGGAGCCCCGCUCGUGCGGCCCCCACCGGGGGGCGACCGCACGCGCAACGCUUCACCCUGCGCUACAGCAAACCCCCAGGACCGAGCAAGCCAAUAAACAAAUCAAAUCGAAUAUCUCACGUGGUAGCCGCCGUGGGUCUGAUGGCCCCUCUUCUCAGUCGACAGUAUCUAGACCCUUCACAACUAUAUUCCGCAUCGCAGCCGAAGA